AAUGGACGAAAGUCUGACGCAGCGACGCCGCGUGGGUGAUGAAGGCCCUCGGGUUGUAAAGCCCUGUGGGGAGGGAAGAAUAAGGGUACGUAAAUAGCGUAUCUGAUGACGGUACCUCCUUAGCAAGCACCGGCUAACUCUGUGCCAGCAGCCGCGGUAAGACAGAGGGUGCAAACGUUGUUCGGAAUUACUGGGCGUAAAGCGCGUGUAGGCGGCUAAGCAAGUCGGGUGUGAAAGCCCUUGGCUCAACUGAGGAAGAGCACUCGAAACUGCGUAGCUUGAGUUCUGGAGAGGAUGGUGGAAUUCUCGGUGUAGAGGUGAAAUUCGUAGAUAUCGAGAGGAACACCAGUGGCGAAGGCGGCCAUCUGGACAGAAACUGACGCUGAGACGCGAAAGCGUGGGUAGCAAA
rnacentral:rRNA from 1 species